GGGGUAUAUAAAGCGGCCAUUACUGUGCAACGUAGGCAUUUCCUUAGUCGUCUGCAAGCGGGGAGGACGUAUCUUGCUCGAUAGUUUCAAUUCUUUUGUGUUUAGUUGUGUGUGAAUCUCUUCUAUUUUGUUCUACAACAAACACGAGCCAGAUACAGUCUCACCGUUUGAGAUGGCAUUGGGACAUUUGAGAUGGGACAUUCGGAGGGAGGUGGUGUUCGGAACGAUGCUGAAGCGUACCGCACGAUCGUGGACCGUUCUCUAGUCUCUACGCCUUUCAUUGGUUUGGUUUGUAAACUGUAUCGGGACCAACAUAUUCCCCUUUACAAUUUUUUGUAGUAAUAUACGUAAUAAUGAGCGUUCGAAAUAUGUUCGAAGAAUGUUUGACUCCAUAUUUUUUAUUUUCAGAAAUAUGGCAAUUUACAAAAGACUUUAUGUAUUUUGUAUAUCUUAUAAUUUAAAGAAAAUUUGUAUAGUAUAUUUUAACUUGUAGAUUUAGUAGUACCAUUUCAAAUAUUCGAUCUAUUAUUCUGGACGUCAAGAUUUUGUAUAUUUGUUUAAUGUUAACAGUUUUGUAGACUUUAAGAAAUAAAAAGAAAUUAAUAAAAUUUUAAAAAUGUUUACAGUUUUUCUACAAUCUUCUAAUUCACCAAAUCCUUUUUUGACCAGCAUACUACACAUAACAAAAUUCUGUCGUAGGCAAGAGAUCCGCACAUGUGUCCAGGCUGUUGGCCGUCAUCGGCGACAUUAUUUGGCCUGUCUAUGUAUGAGAUAAGGAGUGACGAGAGAGGAUUGGUAUGGGAUAAACAAAGGGGGAAAAGUCUUUGAUUUUAGAAAAUCGUACAUGAAGUUUUCUGGCUGACGAUGGGUUGCACCCUGAUCAAGUUGUACAUAAACGUCUCAUCACUCUGUGCUUCUGUAUCUUGAACAUCCAAGCAUCAACUAAUUCCAAAAUCGUCUGACGCGUGAUACACAUAGGCUUAUUGUGACAAACUACAGCAAAUUGUAGCAAGUUUUAUUUGGUGAGCUCUAAUCCCUUUUGUUCAUUACCUGUGCAUAUGUGUUUUCUCAGGUCCAGAAAAGUUUUUUCAACGCUUGUACCACCAAGUUGUAUGUGAGUUACUCUGGCUUAUCAAUAUGCCUCGUUCAAAGUUGAGCAAGCUGAUUACUGUCACAGCUCUCUAUCUUCCCAUUUGAAUUAAGAUAAUAAGAGCUUUUUGAGGUAUGGAGUAAAUUGAAUGCAUCUUUGUUGAAUCUAGAUGAUCCAGAAUGGCGAAUUACUGCAAGUAGCACAACUAAUCAAAAUAAUAGACAUGCACAUAUAUGAAAUAUGUUUAAUAUGGAUAGGAAAUUACUUUGAAAUUUGACUUUGCAAUAAUAAAAACUUUGCAAUAAAUAUGUCGGUUCGGAAGUCAUAUUACUAGAUACUUAUUUUCACAGAUUUCAAUAUUCUCUUCACUUAUCCAUUGAUUGAUGUUAGAACAAAUGAAGAACUUCACGUUAUUAGAUUAACAAAUAGAAUGUAUUGUUCCCGACAAAUGGUGUGCAGAAGAGUAAUGGAAAUAAAAGACUGGUUUAUAUUACAGUUCAAGUGACGCGAGAAAGUGCAAUAAUAUUCAUACAAAUUGCGGAUUGAUGGAUACUAUGAAAAAUACUGAUUGUAGGAAAGCAUUGAUGGAAAAUGAAGCCAAAUAUUUUAAAAUUGAAUCCCUAAGUAUAGCAUGUAGAUAAUAUUUUGUGUGUCGAUGGAGGACAAAAUUAUACACAUUUCUUUUUCAAUUCCAAGGAAAUACAUCAUUGAUGAGUCAGUUGUCAAAACAUGAUGGAAAUAGCUUAUUGUUAAUUGAACAAGUUUGAUAUAAUUACACAAGCUAAAGAUUUAACUUAAAAUUUGUUUGGAGAAAUUUAUUUUUACUUAUACAUGAUGUCAAGUGCGGUAUUAAGUAUCAUGCUUUUAUAACUAUUGUUUUAAAUAUUUUUGUGUUGAAAUAUUGUCGUUUGGGUGUCUGUUUUGUACUGCAGGAGUACCCGAAAUCAUUGUACUCGUCGUGUACAGCUAAACAACUACAGGCAGUUGAUUCUAUUCCUGGAAUGCGUUGGAUUCGUGUUUACAUGGUACGUUAAUUAGAAUGAUUUAGAGAUGGGUUACUGGGGGUGUGAGUAAUUAUGUUUCAGCCAGUCUUGGAUAGAGAACGCGUUUAAUCAACGGUUAAAGGUCCGCUUAAAAUACACAUGCUCUGGUAGUUCCUAAUUGGAUUUGUUAUAGAUGUCGUAUAUUUUCUACUAAAUCCGUUUUUGGGAGAUAUUGAUUGAGAUGAAAAAGGUCAUAUUUUUAAAGAGAGGGAGAGAGGUGGUAUGCUUUGGAUAAAGGUAACAAUUUUAUAUGAAGGAUGAUUAUUGUAAACAUUGAAUAUAAUUGGGGAAAAUUGAGAAACUGGUGCAACUUGUUGUAUUAUGAGCUACAGACCUGGUGCUGUGUCUAUCUCUUAUCACUUUAAUACAAUGGAUGAGACAUUUGUAUGGCAUUUUUUGAUAAUGGAAAACGUGUUCGUGCUAUAUGUUUUGCAUUCAAUAACAGGAAAUGGUUCUGCAAUUUCAGUAAUUCAAAGUAUUUGCAGUACAAUGAUAAGUAUAAUACAAUAUAAAUUUGCAUUUUAUCCGGCUACUGAAGGAAAUACUUGUUUGACAAUGGACAGAUCAUUGCUAAGAAAGGAAGAAACGAGCAGAUUGUGUAUCUAUAAUCUAUUCAAAAUUAAGAUCAUCGUUUCACGUUUAAUAUUUUAGAUCUGCAAGAGGUGAUUCAUAUAUCAUUGUGAUGACUGUAUACAUUGAAGCUAUUUGUCCUUGUUAUUUUUUGUUAUUUGUGAAAAUAUGUAGGAUAUAUAAUGGAUAAAUAUAGGAAGGAUACAAAUGGUCUUAACUCUUCUGCGAAGGAGAAAGAAAAAUAAAGGGUGAUAAGGAAAUGGUCAUAUCAUACAAAUAAUUUCAAUAUAAAGUCAUUUGAAGCAUGGUAAUGAGCAUGGUAGUGUUAAAUUCUUAGAAAUAUGUAAUACCCAAAUAUGAAAUUUGUAUUAUUUAAGUGUUUCAAUAUAUUGGGUAUUUCUGGGUCGACACUUAUAAUUUUUGCUUUAGGAAGUUGAAGAAAAUUACAUUUAUGACAUGAAUUUUAUAAUAAGCCUCCUGCUCUAUGGGAAAGCCAUAUUGUUGUGAAAGGCAUCUAAACAUGUAUGUAUGUAUUGUUUAAAUAUUAUUGCUUUUAUUAUAUUCACAAAAAAAGAAAUAAUGUGAUAUUAAUACAAUGCGUCAUAAAAUGUUCAAAUGCGUUGCGUUAAAAUUUUUAUGACAAUUUUUAUAUUCAUAAAAGUUUUGUCUUAUGUUUUAAUUACAUAAGUACAUGAUAGUUGUAACAAAUUUUUGUUCCAUCGGUUUUCCGGCAGGUAAAAAUCAAAAUAUAAUCAUUGAAGUCAAAUGUUUUUCAAAUUUAAAAUUGCAAAUUUAAUAUAAUUAUUUUACGGAUUCAUUACGCACAUAAAAUUCGCACGCAAUUGCAUUUGCAUGCAAUCCAUUGAUGCAAAAAUAUUCCAAAUAUAUAGAAUAAUAGUAAUAAAUAUAAACUUUUAUUAUAAAGUAAGGGUAUUCAGAUUGAAGGACAAAUUACACGUGAAUGUGUAAAAAAUGAUUAGUAAGUGGUUUUUGAAUUGUGGAAAUUAUAAAUAUAUCACAGAAAGUAAUAUUAAACGAUCCAGAAAAGCAUUUUCCAAAUGGAAGGACAAAAUGAAUUACUAUUUUACCUUGAUUAACAUUUCGAUCAACGUUUUUUCAUGGAUAGAUAAAUGAAAAAAUAAUUCAGUAUGUAUUAUUUUCAAUUGAACGUUCAACAAAUCUGUAUAUUGUGAAAAUUUAUGCAUGUAUGACAAUUGGAAUAUUUAAAACUGUUAUAUUUCAAAGUAAUCUCAGUGCCAAUGAAAUUGAUUUAUUAAAACUAUAUAUGAAUGUGAGUUCUUAUAUUCUGCUUCAUUUUUUUUUUAAUCAUACUAAAUCUUAUAAAAAGAAUCUGAUUACAAGUUCAUUUGUAUGAACAUUGAAACAUGAAGUAAAACAACAACUAUGGUAUGUUGUAAUCUUCACUAUUUCGUCUAAUUUGAUGUCUUGGUUGUAUGCAACUCCAUGCACCAUUGGAUGAAUAGCUUUCUAUAUUUUCUAACAAAGAAGAAUAACAUUAUUUUAAUAUGAACUAAGAAAUGACUUUGAAACAGAUUUGAAAUUAAUAACUUAAUUACAAUCAUUUAUGCAUUACAACAGUUGAAGAUUUUGGAUAUGAAGAUAUACAACAGAUAUAAGAUUUAUAUAAUAUGCUUCAGAUAUACAUUUUCAGAAUAUACUUGCUAUAUACUUAUCAUUAGUAAAAUGUAAAUAUUUUUAUAGAAAAGAGUAUAAAAUUCGACAUGAUUUCUUUCAUGGCAAACAGAAUAUUGUAACAUUUAUUGCCAAAAUUUUACAAAAGUUGCAUUUUUCUUAAGGGUAGUACCAUUCAUAAAUAGCAAGAUCAAUUUGACAUAUGAAAAGGAUCUGUAUUAGAAUGCAACUUUUAAAGAUUAUCUAUUACUUGGAUAGUAUAAGAGAUAACUAUAUAUAGACUAGAGGAACAUCACAGAAGAAAAGGAAAUAUUUAAUAUUGUGUUCAUUCAAGGAUCAAAUAUCAAUGAUUGUAACAAAUAAUUGGGACGAUUUAAUUGGGAUAACAACUUAAUGUCUGGAAGAUAAUGAAUCAUAAUGUAUAUUCAUGAAAUUUCAAAACCGUUAUCUCGAUUUCGUAAGAUUUGAAAAAGGCCAGCUGUUAAUGUAAAAUUUAAAGGAAACCAACAACGCAGUA